UUUAAAGUGUAAUGUAAGUCGCUUUGGAUAAAAGCGUCUUCUAAAUGACCUGUA
rfam:Gasterosteus aculeatus cont1.007047, whole genome shotgun sequence.